GGGGGCCUCCUCCGCGGGCCUCGCAGGUGCUCGGCCGGCGCAGGCUGGGGCUGGAGGCGCCCCCCUCCCCACUCGCGGGGUCCGGGUUUACUCCCACCCCAGGGGUCCGGGAUGCAUGACUGAGGGGCGUUGGCCCCCGGCCACAGGGCCAGGGCGGAGGGGGUGGGGGAGCAGCCCAUUAAGAUUCAGAGGGAAGCGGGUCCUCGGAGACGGCGGGAAACAAAGGCGCCCCAGUGCUGCCCACUUAGCAUGCCAGGGCCGCGCCGCUCGGCUCCCGGGGCCAGAGAUGUGGCCCCCGUGCCCACGAACUCCAAGGCCACUGCUUCAGAGUGCACCCAGUAAACACCCCGGCAGAGGCAGCCGGCCUGGGAAAUUGUGAAUGCCUCGGUUUUGAAACAGGCUCUUAGCUCUCCUUGCCUUCUUGCAGGGUGAUUGUCGAAGGUAACUACUUGAAGUUGUUGCAAGAGUCUUAUUUAUACAACCAAAUGAGAACUUAAAAGCUACUUUAACUGGCUUUUGUCUGCAUAUCCUGGUGAAGUUAGGCUGUAGAGAGCUUCGAGGGACUGUUGUUCUGCCAGACACUAGGAUGCCUCUGAGAGAUGGUGGCUCUUAGGAAGAAGACAGCCCCAUAGUGCGUGCCCAGUGAAGGUCUAUGGAAGAAUGAACACGUCCCAGAUAGAGAUGAAACGGUCUUUGGCUCCUACAGACAGAGAGGGACUGGGGCUGGCCCUGGCGUGGAUGCCGACCUCUAGCCCAACCGUGUCCAGGAGGCAGGUGACGUGACUGUCGCAUCUUGGCAUAGGAGAGCCCAUCGUGUGAGAAGAAUGCAGCUCCAGAUGAAACCCUGUUGGCUGGGACCACAAAGAGGCAGAGCUGAAAAACACAAGGAUGCUAUUCCAAGACAAGGACAAGAAGGCCAGGAGGACAUUUCCACCGACGGCCGCUGCAGAGGGGAAAAACUAAAGCAGGAGGAAAAAUUAACAAGGAGAGAUGCAGAGAAUGAUCCAGUCAGCACAGAAAAGCAGCGCUUAUCCAUUAGUCCCACGGCUGAGCCCUUGGAAAGAGCCUUCGUGUAUCUCGUCCACCUACCUAUCGUUUUUGACCUCUGACACUCACUCUCCAUCGCCCACCAACAGCGAUGCUCCAGUAAACUCCAGCUCCUGGUCGUUUCCUACACACACCAUGAGGCUUCCUCUGCCCAAACUGUGCAUCCCCCAAUGAACUCAUUCUUCAGCCACCAUUUCUUGAUUGUCUCCUUCCUUCCAGACCGUGACUGCAUGACUCCUUCCAUGUAGGGGCCCCAUACCCCUCCUUUUCCUUUAUUUUAGCACAGAUUUCACUGUACUGGGAUUGAUUUUUACAUUUUUUUUUCUUUCAUUAAGCUGUGAGCUACUGCCUUCGUAUUUUUCCUUCUUUGAGACCUAGCUCAUAUCCUGACCCACACGGAGAUGCCUCAUGUUUAUGGAGUGAGUGGUUGAGUGUCUUAUCAGACAUGAGUGGUCAUGUAACCCACCAUGCCGCCCCUCCAGGGCCUCCUUGAUAAGAUACACAGAACUAAACGUUGCUUCUCUCUGCAACAUCUCAUCCAUUUCCAGUGAGAUGGAACCCCUGCAUCUCUUUUAACUCCUCUUGGUCGGGUUUUUAUUUUUAACUCCCUUCUAUAAUGCUGAUUCAUAGUAAAAGCUACAUCAGUUACUCUUGGAAAUAAGUAUGAGAAAAGAGACUCUACUCAGUGUUCAGCAGCCUACACAGUGUAAAUCUUUAUUUUCUCCGACUGCACGAGAACAAUUUCAGUAACUCCCUUUCCAGUAGUAAUUACCACGACUCCUCUCAUGUGAGUUCAGCCCUUUGUGACUUUCACGUCACUUUAGCAUCACUGUUUCACAGGCUUGGGUAUUUCUGAUUUGGCCUUACUAGUGAAGAAAUACCAUGUGUGUGAAAUUAUUCAGAUUCUAAUAGAUAACCACUUUCCUGUUUGGAUUAAUUUAUUUCGGAAACCACCUCACAAAUGACAACAAUUUUUUUUCCCAGCAUAACAAGAUUGUCUGGAAGUUUUAGCAGGUAAUACUAGCCAUGUGCAUUUGGUCUUUACCCAUGUGAUAUAUUUAAGGAGGUCAUUUUUGCUUAAAAAUGCCAAGUGAAUUAGUAGGGUUAAUGAUUAAUCUCUCUUUCCAAGUGAUGUUUGGCAUUCUGUUAGCGUCCACACUGGUUACUCCGAUACAACACGUCUAGACCAAGUUCAUUAUCCAACCAACUGGUCUGCAACUGUUCAAUCAUUAACAUGCAAAUUACCACAAAUAAAGGACAGGUGACAAUGA